rnacentral:rRNA from 1 species
CCUACGGGAGGCAGCAGUGGGGAAUCUUGCGCAAUGGGCGAAAGCCUGACGCAGCAACGCCGCGUGGGGGACGAAGGCUCUCGGGUUGUAAACCCCUUUCAGGAGGGACGCGGUACCUCCAGAAGAAGCCCCGGCCAACUACGUGCCAGCAGCCGCGGUAACACGUAGGGGGCGAGCGUUGUCCGGAUUUAUUGGGCGUAAAGAGCUCGUAGGUGGCUCGGUAAGUCGGGUGUGAAAUUUCGAGGCUCAACCUCGAGACGCCACCUGAUACUGCUGGGCUAGAGUCCGGUAGGGGAGCGUGGAAUUCCUGGUGUAGCGGUGAAAUGCGCAGAUAUCAGGAGGAACACCAGCGGCGAAGGCGGCGCUCUGGGCCGGACUGACACUGAGGAGCGAAAGCGUGGGGAUCAAACAGGAUUAGAUACCCUUGUAGUC